GACUCCGUGGCGCAAGGGUAGCGCAUCUGAUUCCAGUCCAGAAGGUUGCGCGUUCAAAUCGCGUCGGGGUCA
rfam:Pyronema omphalodes CBS 100304, CBS100304, WGS project CATG01000000 data, contig: Pcon_v1_contig1218